AGAAAUUUAGGUUAUUCUUAAACCAGGAGCCUUCAAAGCACCAAACAGGGCCAUCCCCUAAUUUCUG
rnacentral:tRNA from 1 species